AUGAGUCAACUGCCCCUUGUUUUUGAGAAAAAGAGAGUGAUAAACCUAGAGAGAGUUGGUUUGAAUCUUCAGGGAUAUUCAAAUGGAGAGAAUAGUGAAGAGAGCUUGAAGAAAAAUUUCAACCUGAUGGAAGCUUGCUUGAAGAAGAUGAGAAUUCCUCAGAUCUAUUUUCUCUCUCUUAAUGAGUUUACUUUUGUGUGA